CGGCGGAGACACCUCACUCUGGAGGUUGGGAGCGGGACUGGUUCCUUCCUGCCUGGGGAGAGAAGUUGCUGCCGGGGGGUGGGGGAGCAGCCGUGUGGUGUUGUUCUUAAAGGGGCAGUAACUCCUUGGCAAGCGAUCUGGGUCCCCUCACUCCUCCCCCCCCCAUAACAAAUUUAGGAUUUGCGAGCUGGGGUGAGGGAGGGCUUCACAUGCAACCAUAGAAAGUGGUGUAGUGUUUCCCAAAUGCUUGUUGUGGAGACCAGUGCCAAUAAUAAUCCCUCCGCUCCUUUGCGUUUCCGGCAGCACUGAAAACUUUCUGAUUUACAACAGACAAAACUAAUAGUUUCAGAGAAAGGCUUGCAAAAAAGGCGGUGACACCCCACCCCCCGCACACACUUUGCCCUGGUGGAGGUACAGGGUGCCCUGCUUUCCUGUCCGCCACUCCUUUAAACAAUUAGUGGCAGUGAGUUCUGGGGAAGGUGGCUAUGAGACGCAUUCACGUAGGCGGAAACGCGUUCUGCAAUUCCUUUAUAAAUAUUUGUCAGGAAGCAGUUGCCAAAGAAAGUAUCAUAGUUAUGCAAUGGUUUUUGUGGGCGAAAACUCGGCUUUUUCGCCUUCUGAAAGAGUUUUAAAAACAGGAAAAUAUUAUGACUUACACAAGCUUUUCCACUGCAUGCACGAUCGCUCAAAUAAAUUUGUCAGUCUCUGAGGUGCCACAAGUACUCCUCGUUGUUUUUCCUGAUACAGCUACCACCCUGCGAUCUUGCACAUGUAUUUCAGCCUCUGCAUGCAGGAUCGUGUAUCGUAAACUGUUUUACACACUUUGGCAUGUACCAUCUUGCACUGGCAGAAGAUGCUUAACAUAUUUAAAAAAAGCCAAUAUGAGACCUACUCCAGUGCAAGAUCACGGUUACAAAUAAAGAGUUUAUGUUAAAAUAAAACAACAACACCGUACUUGGCUAGGAAAAGAUGUGAAAUUUUUUUUAAUCCAUGGUUUUGCAUUAGCAAAGUAUGUUUCACCUAUGUGGGUUGUUGUGUUCAUUUUUGUACCCACGGUGUUGCACUGGGGUGUUUCAUAUAGGGUUUUUGGGGUUUUUUCGUACACAUAUUGCACUAGCAGCAUCUCUUUAAUAGGGCCUCUUUCUUUGUAUCUUGAACUGGAUAUAAUUCACGUAGGCUCUUUCUGCUCCUACCUGAUCGUGUACCAGCAAAGCAUAUUUUUUACACAUAGGCGGCUCUUUCUUUGUAUGCGGGAUCUUGCACGAGCGGAAUGUUUUAAAUAGGCAGUUGAUUUUGCAGUGGCGAGAUUUAUUGUGCAAUCACUCCAAGCGCGAGAUUUUGCACCGACAAAGUAUAUUUCAGGCAAACAAAACUGCCUAAAUAUGGACUUUGUUUGCAGCGUCGCCUCAAGAGGGUUCAGACCGCGCACGCUUGUUGGUGUCGGAAGGGAAGAUGCUUUAAAGUCUUCUCCAGAGGAAAGAACGAAAGUGGAUCGCCCACUGCUCCCGCUCUCGCGUUUCCUGUGCCAGGGCGUCCGGGUCAUUAGGGGCGCCUUGUCCCUGACUCCGCUCGGCCCCGUGUUUUCCUUGGGUCCUGUCGCAGCCGCCCAGGCUCCGCCUCGCCCAUCCCAAGGGGUGGGGUUCGGGGCUGGAAUGGCGAGCGGCGCUUGGGUGCCAGGAGGCCACGUGGGGAAGCGAAGGCGGCCUCCUCUCUCCCUCGACUUCCCAUUUUUUCAUCCCCCUCCUCGCACGCUUUUGCCCGGGCAGGUAACGCUGGGCACCCGCAGAAUAGAGCCGGGGGCAUGCAACAAUCUUCAGCCUGGCGCUGGCGGCCAUUGGCCUGUUGGGGCCAUUCUCCCAGAAGCUGUCCAAGCUCCAAAACACAACUCCUCGCCUCUAUGCGCUGUGUGCAUAAUCCUGCAGUUAGGGCUUUACGCCUCCCAUUUCAAGGAAGUACAGGGGACCCACUUUCAUUAGCUAAUAUAUUGCUGCUAAUAUAUAGCUCUUGUUGCACAGCAAGCUACUUUGAAUAUCCUGACUGAAAGACCCACCCCAAUAACCUGAUAAGAAACAAAAUACAAGAAUCAGGCAAAAUACGUUCUUCUUGGAUCAUGAUCUGAAGGUUUGAGACUCAGACUUUGGCUGACUUCCAGCAGGAGGUAGCCUCUAUUGUUCAAUAAAACUAUUCUACUGUAGGCAGAAAGGUUUCACCGUUAGUGGCAUUGCAGUUUGCAUCAGGUCUUUUCAUUCUGCUUUAUGAUAGCUCCCCAAGGCAGCGUGGUUUUGGGGGGUUAGGUUGGAGGCUAGAGGCAAAAGAGCUUAGUUCUUUGUGAAACUCCUUUUUCCCCCAACCGCUUUGCUGCAUGACCUUGGGCAAAUCCUGUAUCAAUCAUGUAUGCCUUGGCUUCACCCUCUGUAAAAUGGGGAUAAUAUUACUGACUGACCCAGCUUUUAGAUUCUUAGAUGAAAGGUGCUGUUUCAGUGGAAAGUGUUAUCAAAUUCACUACAAGCAAUUCCUUUGGGUCCUUGAUAACAACAGUAGAAUCAGUCAAAUGCCCUUGAUGCACUGCAUGGUCCCAGAUACCUUUCAGAGUCUCUUUGUGUGCUGUCCUACCCCCUGAGGCCUGAGGGGACAGGGCUGCUGGAGCCUGGAUUUUCCAGGAAGGGUAGUCUGUUUGCUUCUGGCCUCAGGACUGUGGACUGCUCUUCUUUUUGACAUGAGGAGGACCAUUGGAAUGAUCCUCUUUUAAAGGAGGUUUAAAAACUUUUUAAAAUUAUAAAUAUCAGAAGGCCUUCAGCAGAUUGUGUUGCCUUAUAGUGAGUUGAAGAGGAAUUAUAAUAUUGUAUAUUUUAAGCCAUUUAAUCUGUACUUGGUUUAUUUCAGAGUUGUUAUGUUUUGUAUCUAGGCACAGACAAUUAACAUUUUGAUUUGGUUUGGUUUUGCACUAUUUAGUUAGUGAGCAGUUAACUGUUUACUAGAUACUUUCUGUUUUGUGGAGCUAGCUGAGAAGAGCCAUUGCUUUAAUAGCUAUAUAGUCAACUUUUAACUCCACACCACAAUAGGGAGCAGCUAAACAGGAAAAAAAAAUGGAUAAAGGUAAAUUGUGUUGGUCACCUUUCUUGCUAAGGAUAUUGGAAUAUAGCUAUGUCGUCUUAAAGCACACAGUAAAGAAUAAGUAGCAAUGGUACUAAUACGUACUCAAAGCAGAAUGAACAAUUAAAGUUAUAUUUAAGUCACUGGGCCGGAAUCUUUGAUUUCCCAUACAGAUGUAAAAAGUAAUUAGCGUCUAACUGUGCACGUUUUAGGUGCAGAUUACAGACUCCGUUACAAUACUGUUAAAAUGCUAAGUAUUUAUGUGUUCAGUUUAGCAACACCACAAUGCAGCAUGUUGGACAUUUAAAAAAAAAAUUCUUCCACUGAAAUUAAGUGUGCGGCGUAUAAAAACAUAUUUGCACUUUUCCUGGAACACAUGGAAGGGCAGAAAAAAUAAAACAAAUGCUUGUAGUGUUCAAACAUUCUACUUGAGACACAGGAUUAAGUAAUGUAAUGUUUGCUGCAUAGUUGGGAAAUAUAUUUUAUUAAUACAAGACAAAAACUUCACUGUAGUAAAGCAAAAAUGCUAUAGCCAGACCCAACUUUGGUAAAAUACUACUGUUAGCAGAUACUUUAAACAAGAAAGAAAAAUAAAGAAUUAGCCAAGUUUGAGAUCUUGGUUAGGUUUGCUUUUCUCGUAAAAUAAUGAGACAAAAAAUGUUGCAGAUAUCAUAGUUGUAGAUCAUCUUCUUGAAAUGAGGGCAGACCGUAACACAUUAAUAAAUUAGUGUGAAAAUGAUAGGUCAAAACAGCUGGUUAGUUGGUUGAAAUUACAUAAAAUAGAGCACUCUGUAGGUGUUGUUCCAAAUAUUAGAAAUAGUUAUUAGUGACCAGAAAUAGUAAUCAGUGACCCAUACAGUUCUUUCUGUACUAUUCUUUCAUUUUUAUGUUUUUCUUCUAGAGACAUGCAACAUUUCUGUUAGCCACCUUAAUUUGUUUGAAAGCCAACAGCAGUUUAACUGUAUAUUUCAGGUGUGUUUCAGAAACUGAAAAAGUCUUUAACUGAUUUAGCAGCUGAUGCAUUCCUCAUCACAAUAUCCGAUUAUUGGCAUAUUAAGCAGUAGAUACUGCAAAACUAAACAAACCGAAAUGGAAGUUUUGCCCUUACCAAAUACAUAUAUUUUAACUAAUAACCAAAUUAAUAAACAAAUUGCUUUGCAUUUAUAAUAUUAAUCAUGGAUAAUUAUGAUCAAGACCAACAGAAAUCCACAAGUCUGUUCUCUUUGAAUUUUGUCAUAUCUGGUAUCCCACAGAACCCAAGUUUUCAUUUAAAAAUGUAUAUAAAUAUAUGCCUGACUCAUAUAAAUAUAUGACUGAUUAUGUACCUUGCCUUCCUAGUUUAAAGGAAUGUGUGAUUGCUGUGUUCAGUCAGCCUUGCAGAAAAACUAGCGCAAACAAACUAAAACAAUAGACACAAAGGUGCAAUACCUACCUCCUCUCCCCCACUCCGCUCCAUCCACAAGAAGCCAUUUAUUUUUCAUAUGGGUAACCCUUUAAAUGUCAGUACUGUAGAAAGAAGAAUGCUAUAUGUGAUCAGAGAGAAAAACACUUUAAGAAUUGAGUUGGUGUUUUUAAAAAGUUCAGUUUCAGUCCUGUUUUUUAAGAGUGAUUAGGACAGAUUUUUCUAAUUUAAUAUGUAAUCUGAAAAUAUUAGA